AGGCAGGUGUUUUACCCUGCCUGGUUGGUGUUUUGUCCCUGGAGAGGUGUAAUCCAGUGGAGCGGGAAAAGGAUUGUGUCCUAGGCUACAGCACACGGCUACCAAAUCCACAGUCUUUGUGGGGAAAUCACAUGAGCAUUGCUAAGUCAUUUGGUCUAAACCUUGAAGGAGACAAAUAGUCAGGUGAUUAAGGGCAACCUGAAGCUACUUGAUAACUGAGGGGCUGGAACUGCCUUUCACUACCGAGCUAGGAAAACCACUAUCUCCUGAGUGCAGGGAAGAGGAUUCACAAUUCAAGAAUUCCUUUUCCACGUGAGAAACUUAUUAGGAUGUCAAAAAAUAUGGAGAGUGCCUCGAGUAUCCUUACAGACUGUAUGAAGUUAAG